rfam:Aspergillus flavus AF70 489, whole genome shotgun sequence.
GGCAAGGUGGCCGAGCGGUCUAAGGCGCACGGUUCAGGUUAACCUGUCCAUCAGAACUUCAUACAGAGGUUUCCGUGUCAUGAAAAUGGCGUGGGUUCGAAUCCCACCCUUGUCA